UACGUAGGGCGCAAGCGUUGUCCGGAAUUAUUGGGCGUAAAGAGCUCGUAGGCGGCCUGUUGCGUCCGCUGUGAAAUCCCGGGGCUCAACCCCGGGCCUGCAGUGGAUACGGGCUGGCUAGAGGCAGGCAGGGGAGAGCGGAAUUCCUGGUGUAGCGGUGAAAUGCGCAGAUAUCAGGAGGAACACCGGUGGCGAAGGCGGUUCUCUGGGCCUGUACUGACGCUGAGGAGCGAAAGCGUGGGGAGCGAACAGG
rnacentral:rRNA from 1 species